AGCACUGUAGGUGCCAGCCGCCGCGGUAAUACAGAGGAUGCAAGCGUUACUCGGAAUUACUGGGCGUAAAGCGUGCGUAGGUGGUUUGUUAAGUCUGAUGUGAAAGCCCUGGGCUCAACCUGGGAACUGCAUUGGAAACUGGCUUACUAGAGUGCGGUAGAGGGUAGUGGAAUUCCCGGUGUAGCAGUGAAAUGCGUAGAUAUCGGGAGGAACAUCUGUGGCGAAGGCGACUACCUGGACCAGCACUGACACUGAGGCACGAAAGCGUGGGGAGCAAACAGGAUUAGAUACCCUGGUAGUCCACGCCCUAAACGAUGCGAACUGGAUGUUGGGAGCAACUUGGCUCUCAGUAUCGAAGCUAACGCGUUAAGUUCGCCGCCU
rnacentral:rRNA from 1 species